rnacentral:lncRNA from 1 species
UUUUUUCUCUUAAAUGGUUCUUUUACUUCUCACUAUCAUGUAGAGGGAGUUUUGAGAGUACUCGCCAACUGGGUUCUUCGAUAAAUCUUCCCAGUGGGUUUGUUCAUUUGUAAAGCAUCCCUAAUUAAUCAUUGCUUAUUCACAUUUUCAUUCUGAUCGGUGUCUAUUGGGGUCUGUUUUCGCCAUCAAACAUCUAAAGCUUUCAUAUCACAAGGAACAUUCUUCAUUGAAAUUCUAAUUAGGGUAAGUAAUUUCUUUACCGAAAAAGUAGUAACUCUUUGGUGUAUUUUUACUGAUUUUGAUUUUAUUUUACCGACUAAUAUUUUGAUUAGAGUUUCGAUUGUAGUAACAAUGACUUAGGGAUUUUAAAAUUGAAAGUACUUAGAAUAAAAUUCAUGACUACUAUGGUAUUUGCGUAACAACUUAAAAAAAAUAGGACUUGUCUGUUAAAUACUUUAUCUUUGUUUGAAUUUGUCGGCUUGUAAUCUAUAUAUUGAUAUAAAGGAGGGACUAGAAGAGGUGAUGUGUCAUAUCUCUUUGACUACGAAUCAUCAUUUAUCUAUUUCCUCAUUUUUAGGCUUUUCAGAAAAUUAAAUUUAUCUAUUACUUAAAAAAAGGUCUCUUCAAAAGUCGCUUCCCCUCGCUGAAAAGUCACUCUCUACUACCUUGUCCGAUAAUUAUAUGUUCCACUGUAUCUCUCCCUCUCAUACCGGGCAAUGUGAUUAUUAAGUAAUGUGAUAAAGAAAAAGAAAAGGAUGCAAAGCGGAGGAGAUGAAGUUACCAUUAAAGAAUUGGUUUCAAAUCUCUACUUACAGAAAAUAACUUAUGGUAAAACCCUAAUUUAUUUUCUCUGUGCUUUCUGAAUUGUACAUGGUACUUUUCUGAAGGAUUUUCGUCAUCAAGUUCAUUUUAAAUUUUCUCUCUUUUGUUCUUAUUUUCGACUGGGGGGUCUCUUUUUCCUUCUUUGUAUUUUCCUUCAUUUUUUCUACUUACUUUUCACUUUGUCUUAUUUAACAAAAAAAAAAAUUAAAACUGUUUAAUAACAUUACUCAAAUAAAGUCGAAAGACAUUUAUGAAAAUGAAAGAUGAAAAGACAUCAAUUUUCAUGAUAUUUCGUUUUCCCAGAACUAUUCAUUUUCUUCAACUAUACCUUUUUAUAACCAACCAUAUGCCAUAGUAUAUCUACUGGUUGAAGGCUUGUAUUUGAUUGAUUAGAUGUAAGGAAACUAAAGGCAGAAGUGAAGUUUCUAUUAUGCACUCUUCCUGAAACUCCGAGAACUACUGCUCACUGAGUUAAAGUUGCACAUCUGAUCAAAUGGCAUGAGGUAUGUAUUGAACUUCACACCCCUUGGUUGUCAAGCUAUCUAAACCAAUUGCUAUGUUGUUCACUCCAAAAGUUUUAUGCAGGCUCGUAGUGAAAGAAUUUGACUUGGUACUUUUCGUAGCGUCUAUUCUUAAGAAGAUAUCAGUCUUUUCUGUUAUUUAAUGACUGCCCCAUAAUUACUUUUCUUCUGCUUUGUACUUCCUAAAGUAGCAAAGUACUACAUUCUUUUGCUUUUUCACUACUUUAAGUAGGAUUUUAAUUGUUGCAUUGUAAUUACUCUUUCGGUAUUAUUGAUGGAACGAGAUAAUCUAUAUGCCUAUUCUAUUUAUACUCCAUCAAAAGCAUCGGUUAUCAAUAUAAGUUGAACUCUUAUUCUAAGGGCAGCAUGUUUAUUGAAAUAGAAAAAGAAGGAAAAACGAAGAGGAAAGAGAUAGAGAAUCAGAGAAAAAGAGUUGUACCAGGAAAGGUAAAAUUAACACUUUUUUCACCUGCGGGAACUAAUACGUGAACAUCAGGUUAAAUAUUGCAGCAUAUUUACCCUGUAGCUAAGAAAUGGAUUUAUGGGCAGUCACACAUUUGGAGAAAAUUAUUGUGGACUAAGCAUUACUGUGAAGUGUGAACCAUUGAUUCUGUGAAAACUAGAACAAGGUAAUCUUGAAUAAUCUUUCCUUUUGUGGGACAAAUGGUCUGGCCUUGGACCUAUAUCAAAGCUGGUUACCCAGGUCAACACUUCUAGAAGAAACACACAUAAAUAAUCAUAACGAACAAUAUAAGGGAUGUUCAACUGUCAUAAUAUAGAUAAGUGCAAAAAUAUAUCUGAAAAUCAACAUCAAAGUGCGAAAACACUACAUCAACCCCAAGAACCGGUAGUAUAAGUCUUGAGCUACUAAAUGAAAUACAUUUAAAACAUAAAACAACUUGGAACAUAUAAAAAAUAUAACCCUAUUUGGAUUGCUCGCCAAAACUGGUUAUUUUUACAUUUAAAACAACUUGGAACAUUCUCAUGCAAACUCGUAAUUCUACUUCUUCUUGUGUUCACUAGACACACUUAAACAAUAGUAUGAGUGUUUGAUAGGUCACAACAGUUUUUAGGUUUUGGACAGAGGACGAUAGCUGCACCAAAGCGACGACGGGACUGAGACAAAGUCACAGAUGCGGGAUAAAGACUUAGACGAGAAAUAUGAGAGGAUAAUGACUUAUUUAAUGAUUCCAGUGAUGUUUCCCAAUUUGGACUGCUCACCGAACUGCUUUUUUACAUGUAAAUCAGCUUGGAAUAUUCUCAUGCAAACUCAGAAUUCUGCACUCACUUGUGUUAAAAUAUGGCACAAUAGAAUUUCCUUUAAAGCAUCUUUUUUCAUGUACAGGGUUACUUGAGCACAAGCUUUCCAUCGAAGAUAUUCACAGAAAAAUUGAUGUGCAUGGUCCAUCUAGAUGCUUCUGUUGUAAUGAAUACUCUGAAGAGACCUUCAAUCGUUUAUUUUGCAUUGGUGAACUUGCAACUAAAGUCUAUACUUAUUUUUGCAAAAGUGCAGGUUUCACUUUUAAUGCCUCAUACUACUACAAACAUGUUCAUGCAUUUGUGGCAGUAACGCAAAAAUUAAGCUGCAAUCUUUCAUUUUUCAAUGCUUGCCUUCUGUCGUAUGUUGGGAAUUGGGAGAUGCAAUCAUACAAAUGCACCUAGAGAUUUGAUGCCAUCAGAACAUCUUUUUGAAGAGUCACUGAACAGUGCAAUUAUCUUAUGAAGCUCAUGAUCAAUGCUCAGUUUCCUAUAUUCUCUUCCUCUGCCACAUGAUUGGAGCUUUGUGAUUUUGCUGACAGAGAGAAGCACCAGCUGAAUACCACUGUUAAAUGCGAAAAUAGUAUUGGGUCAUCUUCCAAUUCAACCUGUAACUCAUAUAAGAUGUCUGCUUUCGGCUUUAUUUUUAGUAAAAGUGCUGUUAAGCUCAUGUCGCUCUUGCUCUGCUAUGGAUCCUCCGGAUGCCAAUCAAUAAAUUACUUCAUUAAAAGAAAAUAGAAGAUAGAUGUUGGUUAACUGGAUUAAAUGAUCUUUACUCUACUUUGGUAUGUGACUCCUUUUUUACUGUGAUUCCAACCUGAACCCCAACC